CACAAAAUAAUUUGCCACGUAUCAACUCAAAGGACGCAACCAUUUGACGCUUAACUUUUCAGAACGUUAAGUGAUUUGAAAGAUCGAAGGUUCAAAGUUUUGAGCCAUGAACCAGUAAAAGUUGCACAAAAUAAUUUGCCACGUAUCAACUCAACGGACGAAGCCAUUUGACGCUUAACUUAUCAGAACGCUAAGAAAUCUGAAAGAUCGAAUGUUUAAAGCCUCAAUCGUCGACCAGCAAAAGAUAAAUCAAAGUCAAACAAAGUUACAAUUCCAAACAAGAACAGUUUGCUUACCAAAAACAAAUCAUUGCGAUCUUAAACAAGACAAUAAACCGAUUGAGAAAACACGACGUUUCGUCUAAGACGUCGUCAAAUUUUUGCGAGGGAUCUGGGUCUAGGACGCCACCACGUCGUAAAGUAUUAAUGAUUUAGCAAACCUUUGAAGGACUUCGUCAAAUGAUAGUUGAAACAAGUUUCAUCCAUUUCGAUAUUUUUCCUGUUGGAUCGUGUUUUCCGGUCAUUUUAAACUAAAUUUUUGAUAUCAAAAAUAUACUGCAGGAUAUUCAUUUCAAUAAAAUUAUAAAUAAAAGCAAAA